UAAUCUAUCUAGGGUAGAUUCUCAUUUAGUUGUUGCAUACCCACACCUGACUGUCUAAAAUCACAUGUUAUCGCAAGUACAAUUAUAUCAAAAAAAUCUCCCACCAGCUGGUGAAAGUGUACCAAAAAAAAAAUUACAAAUUAAUUUCUACAAGCAA
rfam:Populus trichocarpa isolate Nisqually-1 chromosome 6, whole genome shotgun sequence.